rnacentral:tRNA from 3 species
GGUGAAAUUAGCUCAGUUGGUUAGAGCGUCGGAUUGUGGUUCCGAAGGUCGUGGGUUCGAUCCCCACAUUUCACCC